rnacentral:rRNA from 1 species
UACAGAGGUCUCAAGCGUUGUUCGGAUUCAUUGGGCGUAAAGGGUGCGUAGGCGGCGCGGUGAGUCGGAUGUGAAAUCUCGGAGCUUAACUUCGAAACUGCAUUCGAUACUGCCGUGCUUGAGGACUGGAGAGGAGACUGGAAUUUACGGUGUAGCGGUGAAAUGCGUAGAUAUCGUAAGGAAGACCAGUGGCGAAGGCGGGUCUCUGGACAGUUCCUGACGCUGAGGCACGAAGGUCAGGGGGAGCAAACGGG